AUCAGAGUGGCGCAGCGGAAGCGUGGUGGGCCCAUAACCCAUAGGUCCCUGGAUUAAAACCAGGCUCUGAUA
rnacentral:tRNA from 1 species